AUGUCCGGAGCGGGAGGUAGAUGGAUGGCCUCCUCCAUCACGGAGGGGCGAAUCAAAAAGCCGAGGAAGGCCGGAUACUUGUCUGACGACAUCGCGCACCGGCUUCCAGAUGUAGGGCAACUCAUCCCCACUCCCAGGCCCCAUGAGAGGGUUGUUUUUCUUCCCCAUUUCCUCUGCGGACUGGGUUUUCCUCUUCACCCGUUCGUCCGGGGGCUCAUGUUCUACUACGGCCUGGACUUCCACGAUCUGGUCCCGAACUUCAUCCUCAAUAUCUUGGCGUUUAUCGUCGUGUGUGAGGCCUUCCUCCGCAUCCAGCCUCACUUUGGCCUAUGGCUGAAGAUCUUCAGCGUCAAGCCGAAGGUUGUGAAAGGCCGACAAGCAGAAUGCGGAGGUGCUAUGGUGGGCAAGAUGGCCGACGUCACUUGGCUCGAGGGUGCCUUCGUAGAAACCAUCAAAGGGUGGCAAUCGGGGCGGUUCUAUAUCACGGAGCCGCGUGACCCUAAGUGGGCAGCGGCCCCCGAAUUUUGA
rnacentral:rRNA from 1 species